CUUUCUCCUCCUUUUUUUCACUCCUUUGCCUCAGCCUCUGAUGUGACACAUUCUUCCAGGGUGUCCUGGCUGUCCUAGUUCCUGUGUCACCCUUCUAUUUGCUGUUUAUUUGUGGCAGGCAGCGCCUCUGGGACACUGGUGCAGUGGGAAGAUGGAGAAUUGGUUUGUGGCUGAGCUUUGCCCUUUCAUUGCCCAGGGAUGAACCAUCUCCACAGCUCUGAACACCUCUGCCCUCCUGAUGGCAUCACACAGGUUACAGGUGACUGAUCACUCCACCAGGACUGGAGAAAUGCCUGAAUGCUGAAUUUGAUGGACCAGAAUUCCCCAAUAAGGUCUGCAAUAAUUAAGUUGAGUUUCCUCCAGGAUGCCCAUCCCAGGGCACAGACUCUCUCAGAGGUGUGAAUAUUCCCCAGUCUACAUUAGAGCACUCUCACAAACCUAACAAAACCAUGGAUUUGCUCCAUUUUCUUUUAAUCAGAGCUCAGAUCAUGGCCAAUAUCAAAGAUAUAUUUGGUGUCUUCUACUCUGCAUCUUGAGAAAAUAGUAUGUGGUCCAAAUAUUUUUGUUUUGUCAAAACCAAAAUAUUUUUCUGGAAGGAGUUUGUUUCAAUGAUAGUUCCAGCUGGGGAUAGUUGAAACAAGUAAUUUAGAUUUUGUUUUGAUACCACUCCACACUUUUGAUAAAAUAAAAGAUGUCAACUGCAUUUAUUAGGACAGUUCACACUGUAAUAAAUACAAAUGUCUACGGACAGUGUUCUGUAAUAUAUUGUGCUGCUCCAGUGUAACUGAAAUGGACCAUUUCCCUAUUAAAAUGUAAUGUUGCAACACAAUUGAAAUAAAAUAUUUUAAGCAACA